rnacentral:rRNA from 1 species
GACGAACGCUGGCGGCGUGCUUAACACAUGCCAGUCGAACGGAAAGGCCCUGCUUUUGUGGGGUGCUCGAGUGGCGAACGGGUGAGUAACACGUGAGUAACCUGCCCCUGACUUUGGGAUAACUUCAGGAAACUGGGGCUAAUACCGGAUAGGAGCUCCUGCUGCAUGGUGGGGGUUGGAAAGUUUCGGCGGUUGGGGAUGGACUCGCGGCUUAUCAGCUUGUUGGUGGGGUAGUGGCUUACCAAGGCUUUGACGGGUAGCCGGCCUGAGAGGGUGACCGGCCACAUUGGGACUGAGAUACGGCCCAGACUCCUGCGGGAGGCAGCAGUGGGGAAUAUUGCACAAUGGGCGGAAGCCUGAUGCAGCAACGCCGCGUGCGGGAUGACGGCCUUCGGGUUGUAAACCGCUUUCGCCUGUGACGAAGCGUGAGUGACGGUAAUGGGUAAAGAAGCACCGGCUAACUACGUG